UACGUAGGGAGCGAGCGUUGUCCGGAAUUACUGGGCGUAAAGAGCGCGUAGGUGGAUAUUUAAGUCAGAUGUGAAAACUUGGGGCUCAACCGCAAGCCUGCAUUUGAAACUGGAUAUCUUGAGGGCAGGAGAGGAAAGUGGAAUUCCUAGUGUAGCGGUGAAAUGCGUAGAUAUUAGGAGGAACACCAGUGGCGAAGGCGACUUUCUGGACUGUACCUGACACUGAGGCGCGAAAGCGUGGGGAGCGAAC
rnacentral:rRNA from 1 species